AUCGGAGCAAAGAUAACCAGCGCACACAUAGAUCGCGCAAGAUCCUCUCAAGGUUCUCUCGUUAGAUGGAGGGCCGCGAGUUACAAUGAGGCCAUGUGGCCACACAAAUACGAACUAGCAACGGAGAGACGAUCAGCAUGGUCAAGCAAACUUCGCUCUAACUUCGACAGUCCCCACAGAUCGCUUGAUCGAGUCAGCCGCGAAUAAAUUCGUCAGUGAAGCCUCACCGCGCGUAAUUCAUCAAGUGGACUGCGGUCAGAAUUGCAAGCGAGAACAAAAAAAAAGGGAAGAAGCGACUGUUACUAAAUCCCGUAGUUGGUUGGCGCUUCUGGACCAGCUGCAAUAGUCAGUGUCGAACAUUUGGUCUCGAACCAUUGCAGCCGGAAAUUGGUCGACCAUAGGCGAAACGAAGCUGACGAGGCAUCGCUUAGUAGCCGGAAUAGAUCGAUAGACGGUCUUAAACGAGGUGCAUGGGCAUGCAACCACGUGUACGUCGGCCCAGGGGUGGCAACAUCUAAGGGACUGCGGAGACGAGCCAGUUCGUGCCCUAAAGCUCAGUGAGGACAUUAUUUUGCAUCUAGCACCCAGCUGCAUGUGGAUUGAGCGAUACGGAGGAAGAACGACGCACGCAACGGCGGCCCAACGAUUACUUCGAUCACAGUGGCUGUGAGGACUGAGACGGAGCGGUCGGUGAAGUUACUCCCGACGAGGUGAUUGCCUUUAGCAUCGGUUACGACAUCGAGGACUUGCUGUUGCGGAGAAAUUCCACGGUUCCAUGGCGUGGACGGUCAGGGAGUGAACAACGAUACUCCAGUGGCGGGUUCAUCUUCAAUCCCAGGACAGCCUGCCCAAUGCAAGACCGAACUGCAAAGUGUAUGGCAUGGCGACAUGGUGCAUGACUAGAGGCGACAGGCAUGAAUUCCAGCUCGCGAUCAAUGUAUUGUGAGUAAACCCAACGUUAGAUGUAAGCCAUUGAUAGUAAAAUAGUUCAUGUUGCGAUAGAGUUAGGAGAUUAAGAAACUCAUGAGGGAUCAAUAGCUUGUACAUGAGAGUAUGGGUCAUUAAUACAGAUUGUUCAAAAUGA